rnacentral:rRNA from 1 species
UACGUAGGGUGCGAGCGUUGUCCGGAAUUAUUGGGCGUAAAGAGCUCGUAGGCGGUGUGUCACGUCGGCCGUGAAAACCUGCAGCUUAACUGUGGGCGUGCGGUCGAUACGGGCAUCACUGGAGUUCGGCAGGGGAGACUGGAAUUCCUGGUGUAGCGGUGAAAUGCGCAGAUAUCAGGAGGUACACCGGUGGCGAAGGCGGCAUCCUGGACCGGUAUUGACACUGAAAAGCGAAAGCCAGGGGAGCAAACGGG